UACGUAGGCGGUAAAUUAAGUCAGUAGUGAAAUCCUGCAGCUUAACUGUAGAACUGUUAUUGAUACUGGUUUUCUUGAAUAUAGUUGAGGUAGGCGGAAUGUGUAAUGUAGCGGUGAAAUGCUUAGAUAUUACACAGAACACCGAUUGCGAAGGCAGCUUACUAAGCUAUGAUUGACGCUGAGGUACGAAAGCGUGGGGGGCGAACAGGAUUAGAUACCCUGGUAGUCC
rnacentral:rRNA from 1 species